AUUGUCCACAUGCUACCACCAUAACACCGAGACACAACCAGUACAGGUCAGCUGGGAUCAACCUGAAAUUACUGCCAAUAUAGGAUGCUCCUAUAGCCAAUGCCUCCUGCUUCCAGUACCAGACCGGUCAGGUUCAAUACACAGCCCAAGAUGAAUUUGAAAACACAGCCUUUUGCUGGUUUUUGGUAGUCAUCAAAAGUGUCUCUGUUUACAGGACAGAAUAUGAGAAUAAUCCAGCACCAGACAGUGUGGAUUGAAGAGGAUACCCGAACCAGUUUACUGUCAAGAAGGCUGUGUCAUCACAGACCUCCACUGAACCAACAGUUGCACCCUGAAACCAGAUGUACAUAUUGUAGUUAUAAAAUAUCAGCUCUCAGUUCAUUGCGGAUGUGGAAACGCAGUAGGCCUGGAAAAGAUUCUGAAGUAUCCAUGGUGAUGAUCUACCCACAGAAUAUUGAAAGAGGUCCUUGA
rnacentral:lncRNA from 1 species